GAGUUUAUCCUGGCUCAGGACGAACGCUGGCGGCGUGCCUAAUACAUGCAAGUCGAACGCUUUUUUCAAUCAUCGUAGCUUGCUACACCGAUUGAAAAUUGAGUGGCGAACGGGUGAGUAACACGUGGGUAACCUGCCCAAAAGAGGGGGAUAACACUUGGAAACAGGUGCUAAUACCGCAUAACCAUGAUGACCGCAUGGUCAUUAUGUAAAAGAUGGUUUCGACUAUCACUUUUGGAUGGACCCGCGGCGUAUUAACUUGUUGGUGGGUAACGGCCUACCAAGGUAAUGAUACGUAGCCGAACUGAGAGGUUGAUCGGCCACAUUGGGACUGAGACACGGCCCAAACUCCUACGGGAGGCAGCAGUAGGGAAUCUUCCACAAUGGGCGCAAGCCUGAUGGAGCAACGCCGCGUGAGCGAAGAAGUAUUUCGGUAUGUAAAGCUCUAUCAGCAGGGAA
rnacentral:rRNA from 1 species